AUCGUCUUUAGAGACAUUCAUUGUAGAUAAGGCUGCUGUGUCACAUGUACAUCAGUAGGUGGCAGAGAGGAGAGAGGCUAUGUUUAUGCUAGGUGACCCUUUGAAUGACUAGUAACUUAACACU
ensembl:snoRNA LOC120099505 small nucleolar RNA SNORA17